GACGAACGCUGGCGGCGUGCUUAACACAUGCAAGUCGAACGAUGAACCCGGAGCUUGCUCCGGCGGAUUAGGGGCGAACGGGUGAGUAACACGUGAGUAACCUGCCCUUGACUCUGGGAUAACUGCUAGAAAUGGUAGCUAAUACCGGAUACGACCCUCGGUGGCAUCACCAGGGGGUGGAAAGAAUUUCGGUCAAGGAUGGACUCGCGGCCUAUCAGCUAGUUGGUGAGGUAACGGCUCACCAGGGCGACGACGGGUAGCCGGCCUGAGAGGGUGAGCGGCGACGCUGGGACUGGGACACGGCCCAGAAUCGUACGGGAGGCAGCAGUGGGGAAGAGUGCACAAUGGGCGCAAGCCUGGUGCAGCAACGCCGCGUGAGGGAUGACGGCAUUCGGGUUGUAAACCUCUUUUAGUAGGGAAGAAGCGAAAGUGACGGUACCUGCAGAAAAAGCACCGGCUAACUACGGGCCAGCCGCCGCGGUAA
rnacentral:rRNA from 1 species